rnacentral:rRNA from 1 species
GACGAACGCUGGCGGCGUGCCUAAUACAUGCAAGUCGAGCGGACGGAUGGGAGCUUGCUCCCAGACCGUCAGCGGCGGACGGGUGAGUAAUACGUGGGCAACCUGCCUGUAAGACUGGGAUAACUCCGGGAAACCGGGGCUAAUACCGGAUAACUCUUUCCCUCACAUGAGGGAAAGCUGAAAGAUGGCAUCUCGCUAUCACUUACAGAUGGGCCCGCGGCGCAUUAGCUAGUUGGUGAGGUAACGGCUCACCAAGGCGACGAUGCGUAGCCGACCUGAGAGGGUGAUCGGCCACACUGGGACUGAGACACGGCCCAGACUCCUACGGGAGGCAGCAGUAGGGAAUCUUCCGCAAUGGACGAAAGUCUGACGGAGCAACGCCGCGUGAGUGAUGAAGGUUUUCGGAUCGUAAAACUCUGUUGUCAGGGAAGAACAAGUACCGGAGUAACUGCCGGUACCUUGACGGUACCUGACCAGAAAGCCACGGCUAACUACGUG